rnacentral:misc_RNA from 1 species
GAACAGCGCCUAACAGUAUAAACUGCCAAAAAACACUUGUUAGAAUUAGGUCAAAGUUUGACUGUCACAAUAAGAGUAACCAGGUAAAAUUCAUUAAUUAGAGGUUCAAUAUCCUGUAAAAGUUUAAAAUGACCACCAGAAUCUUGAGCUUUGGAAAAAUAAACGGUAAUAUAAUGCUGUGUUUUAAUCAAAGAUGCACACAAACACAUCAUGCAAAAAAGAAGAGAGGUGAGAAGAGAUUCACAGUAAAAUAUAGAAACGAGAAUACAGAUAUUCUGUGCAAAAAUACAAAGAUUUUCCUUGAAAGAAUUACAAAUGCUUCCCAUCAAAUUUUAAAAACAAAUAUAUCCAUGUUUUCAGUUCCAAACCUUCAUCCUAGGAUGCAAGCUUCCAGCAGUAAUCGUAGAGUUUUAGGUCUAGAUAAACUAUAAUUAAUACAAAUCAAACUCCAUAAGCAUUUACAAGUGGCAUAAAAUUUCUUGGGUUUUGACAUCAUGAAGUGAACCAAAAAUUAAGCAAGGUCCAACCAGUCUUGUACAAAGGGAUUGGUAAACGUGAUACAACUUUGCACACAAUAGAAACCUCCCACUAGAACAAGAAAUGCGGAAAAAAAUAACAUUUACUGAAUUUGCAUAGUUCCCGUGAUAUGAUAAACGUAUUAUUAGUUUCAGCAGAGCCUUUUGCUUGACAUUCGUCUGAGUCAGGAAGUUUGCAUUACGCAUUGAUUGAUCCUCCAUUGCCCACUUUUCUUCUCUCGAAAUAAAAAGACUCAAGAUACCCUAAAACAUGAUUAAAAAAAUCCUAACUAACAAGGCAUAGUACAGCGCUCAACGCACAUAACCAGAAAAUCAAAAAAUUGAAUGUCAAAGUGAAAAUCCAAUUAACAAAAUCAACACAUUGGAAUUUUCCUAAAAUAACACAAAAUCACAUAACAAAUGCCACCAAAUGGCAAAUUUAUACCUCAUCGACCCUAUCCCACCAGCG